rnacentral:misc_RNA from 1 species
ACUCUGCACAAAUAUAAGGCCCAACUCGGAGCAUCACCAGGAGAUCCAAUUUCUGACAUAGAUUGAGGAAUGAAAAGAUAUCUGCUAUUCCUGUAAAAACAAGUUGACCUUCCCUUGGUUCGUGCAAAUUCCAUGGGACAUAUGUUUGAAUGGUAUUCAAGCCUAAUGCCUUUGCUCUCAGGAGUCGAUCUUCCCAGUACUCUGGAAGAACCCGAAAAUAGUGCAAGUCCCCGCCAAUGAUCUGAAAAGGCUUCCCAUCUUUCCAGAACAUAUCAUCCGCAAUCUCAAAUUUGUUCUUAUCACCCAUAGAAUUAAGUCUAGCGAUGUCGGAACGGGAAGAAAAAGAUGAUAGAGAAGGAAGCGGAGCAAAGGCAGGUGCGAAAGCUCCGAAUACUAAGAGAGCUAAAAGGAGCAUGAAGAUCGUCGUUCCGACGCGUCGUUUUUUCGCCAUUGCCGCUGCUCGGAAUCUCAAUCCCACUGCUCGGAAACUGGAAAUGCCGUUUUUCUUCAGUGUUGUAG